rnacentral:rRNA from 1 species
AACGAACGCUGGCGGCAUGCCUAACACAUGCAAGUCGAACGAGACCUUCGGGUCUAGUGGCGCACGGGUGCGUAACGCGUGGGAACCUGCCCUUAGGUUCGGAAUAACUCCCCGAAAGGGGUGCUAAUACCGGCUAAUGUCUUCGGACCAAAGAUUUAUCGCCUUUGGAUGGGCCCGCGUUGGAUUAGCUAGUUGGUAGGGUAAAAGCCUACCAAGGCGACGAUCCAUAGCUGGUCUGAGAGGAUGAUCAGCCACACUGGGACUGAGACACGGCCCAGACUCCUACGGGAGGAAGCAGUGGGGAAUAUUGGACAAUGGGCGAAAGCCUGAGCCAGCAAUGCCGCGUGAGUGAUGAAGGCCUUAGGGUUGUAAAGCUAUUUUACACGGGAUGAUAAUGACAGUACCGGGAGAAUAAGCUCCGGCUAACUCCGUG